AGCGAACGCUGGCGGUAGGCCUAACACAUGCAAGUCGAACGGCAGCACAGUAAGAGCUUGCUCUUACGGGUGGCGAGUGGCGGACGGGAGAGGAAUACAUCGGAAUCUACUCUUUCGGGGGGGAUAACGAAGGGAAACUUACGCCAAUACAGCAUACGAUCUACGGGGGAAAGCAGGGGAUAUUCGGACCUUGCGCGGUUGAAUGAGCCGAUGUGGGAUUAGCUAGUGGGCGGGGUUAAGGCCCGGCAAGGCGACGAUCCGUAGCCCGACUGAGUGGAUGAUCGGCCACCUUAGAGCUGGGACACGCUCCAUGCUCCUGCGGGAGGCACCAGUGUGGAAUGGUGGGCAAUGGUCGCAAGCCUGACCCAGUCAUCGCGCGUGUGUGACGGAGGCCUUCCGGUUGUGAAGCCCUUUUGUUGGGUAAGAAAAGCAUCAGGUUGAUACCCCGCUGUACUGACGGUAACCAAAGAAUAAGCACCGGCUAACUUCGUG
rnacentral:rRNA from 1 species